rnacentral:lncRNA from 1 species
AUGUUCCUUACGGACUGCUAGUAAUCCCACUAUUCACUGACGUAACUCCGAGCGUUCAUUUCUCCAACUCGGGAUUCAUAAUUGCCAAGGAAAUGCUCCAAGCCUUCUUGGGUACCGGGCAAUACUUUCAUGACGACGGCCUCAAGAACCACUCUUGGUGGUCUCUGUUUACGACAGCGAACUUCGAAGCAAACAAGCAAUGCAUGGAGUUUAUUCUGAGGGACAAAUCCAAUUUCAGCCCUACGGAAGAAGAGAUGACGGACCUCCUGUGGAGUGGAGCCGCGCUGCACAUUGCGCACAAGG